ensembl:lncRNA
CUCCCACGAUUUAGACCCAUUCUUGGUUUUGUGGGACACCCUCUUAGGUGGCCCAGCAGUCCAUUUGUACAUAAUCCUGGCUCUAAAGCCCUCCAGUGCUUCCCCAUUGGCCACAGGAUAAAGUUUAAACCCUUUGAUGUGUCCGGGCUCUGUCCUGACUCCCUUGACUGUUAACCUUCUCCCAGCCAGGUCAGCAGACUACCCAGGGGAUAAGGUUGGCCUGCAGCCUGACUUUGUACUGUCCCCAAGGAAAGAAUGCUGGAUUCCAAACAUAAACACUAUUUGUCGGAGCACGUCGCCAUCACUCGCCUGCAGAGCUGGACGGCUCUGUGAUGGCCGGGUAUGCUGGGCAUCGGCACUGACACUCUUCCUACUGCUUCUGCCCAUGGAGCCCGGUGUGUUCCAAUUUCACUGCCAUGAUUCACAAGGAGUGGAGGGUCAGGCCAGGACCAGUUCUCUUCUUAGAGGCGACUCCAACAUCUGAGCUCCGUCUCUUGUCAUCAACGUGAAGACACCUGAGGCAA